rfam:Lactobacillus crispatus ST1 complete genome, strain ST1
GGAGGAGUAGCGAAGUGGCUAAACGCGGCGGUCUGUAAAACCGCUCUCUCUGAGUUCGGCGGUUCGAAUCCACCCUCCUCCA